AGCAAUAUGUGGCAUACGGCUCAGUAACACGUAGUCAACAUGCCCAGGGGACGUGGAUAACCUCGGGAAACUGAGGAUAAACCGCGAUAAGUCACUACUUCUGGAAUGGGUAAUGACUUAAAUCUAUAUGGCCCCUGGAUUGGACUGUGGCCGAUCGGGCUGUUGGUGAGGUAAUGGCCCACCAAACCUGUAACCGGUACGGGCUCUGAGAGGAGGAGCCCGGAGAUGGGCACUGAGACAAGGGCCCAGGCCCUAUGGGGCGCAGCAGGCGCGAAACCUCUGCAAUAGGCGAAAGCCUGACAGGGUUACUCUGAGUGAUUUCCGUUAAGGAGAUCUUUUGGCACCUCUAAAAAUGGUGCAGAAUAAGGGGUGGGCAAGUCUGGUGUCAGCCGCCGCGGUAAUACCAGCACCCCGAGUGGUCGGGACGUCUAUUGGGCCUAAAGCAUCCGUAGCCGGUUCUGCAAGUCUUCCGUUAAAUCCACCUGCUUAACAGAUGGGCUGCGGAAGAUACUAUAGAGCUAGGAGGCGGGAGAGGCAAGCGGUACUCGAUGGGUAGGGGUAAAAUCCGUUGAUCCAUUGAAGACCACCAGUGGCGAAGGCGGCUUGCCAGAACGCGCUCGACGGUGAGGGAUGAAAGCUGGGGGAGCAAACCGGAUUAGAUACCCGGGUAGUCCCAGCUGUAAACGAUGCAGACUCGGUGAUGAAUUGGCUUCAUGCCAAUUCAGUGCCGCAGGGAAGCCGUUAAGUUUGCCGCCUGGGGAGUACGGUCGCAAGACUGAAACUUAAAGGAAUUGGCGGGGGAGCACCACAAGGGGUGAAGCCUGCGGUUCAAUUGGAUUCAACGCCGGA
rnacentral:rRNA from 1 species